UACGGAGGAUCCAAGCGUUAUCCGGAAUCAUUGGGUUUAAAGGGUGCGUAGGCGGCCUAUUAAGUCAGGGGUGAAAGACGGUAGCUUAACUAUCGCAGUGCCUUUGAUACUGAUGGGCUUGAAUGUAGUUGAGGUAGGCGGAAUGUGACAAGUAGCGGUGAAAUGCAUAGAUAUGUCACAGAACACCAAUUGCGAAGGCAGCUUACUAAAGUAUGAUUGACGCUGAGGCACGAAAGCGUGGGGAUCAAACAGG
rnacentral:rRNA from 1 species